GACACCCCUCUUCGACCCGCCCCGCGACGCAACGUCCUCACGCACAGGGGCUAGCCAAUCCGGCUACAGAAUGAGAUUGCGUCAGGGUGGGGCUCCGCGAGGGGGCGGGACCGGAGACAUGCGAGCUCCUGACGGAGGAGGACCUUAAGGUUUCCUGCGCCUUCGGGCGACUCUGCAGGGGCUCCAGGGAAGGGGAACCGCAGAAAGACUGUCUUCCAAGCCUCAGACGCGAAUGGAGAACGGCGUUUCCAGGUUGGAAUCUGAAUAUGGCAGUGACCCAGCUUUGACUGUGCAAGAUGAUAUGCCCAGGGGGAUGGCAGAAGCACAGGACGGCAUAGACCUGGGACCCUGAAUGCCUGUGUAGAGCAAAGCCACCUCAGCAACCUGGACUGCUCAUCUCAGGAUUAUCGUAUGAGAGAGAAAUAAAUGUCCCUGUUCUUUAAAUCACUAUAUUUUGGAGUCUUUCUGCUAUAGCAUCUCAGUCUUCAUUAACACAGAAAUAUUUUGUAACCAUGAUGCCGAAAGGACAAAGUCGAUGGAAAAACUGAUAAAUUUGAUUACAUUAAAGUGAAAACUAUCUGUACUACAAAAUACCAUAAGUAAUUAAAAAAAAUUUUUUUUAAUAUGAGAAUACAAAGAACUUGAAAGAAGAUAUCUUUUAAUGCAUAUCCAGAGU